AAAACUUUCAACAACGGAUCUCUUGGCUCUGGCAUCGAUGAAGAACGCAGCGAAACGCGAUAAGUAAUGUGAAUUGCAGAAUCCAGUGAAUCAUCGAAUCUUUGAACGCAUAAGUAAUGUGAAUUGCAGAAUCCAGUGAAUCAUCGAAUCUUU
rnacentral:rRNA from 1 species